rnacentral:tRNA from 1 species
GCCUGUGUAGCUCAGUGGUAGAGCACUUCCUUGGUAAGGAAGAGGUCCCGAGUUCAACUCUCGGCGCCGGCU